rnacentral:rRNA from 1 species
CUAGGAUUCCCAAAGUAACGGCGAGUGAACUGGGAAAAGCCCAGCGCUGAAUCUUUCGAUAUCCAUAUCGUAAAGAGAUGUAGCGUAUAGAUAUGAUUGUCGGUUUGUUUCGGCAUGUCCAAAGUUCCUUUGAUAGGGACCAUAUUCCAGAGAGGGUGCGAGACCUGUACGGACAGUUGAACAUACCGUAUGAUUAUAUCAUGGAGUCGGGUUGCUUGAAAGUGCAGCCUAAAGUGGGUGAUAAACUUCAUCUAAGGCUAAAUACGGACGCGAAUUCGAUAGCAAACAAGUACUGUGAAGGAAAGUUGCAAAGAACUUUGAAGAGAGAGUUCAAGAGAACGUGAAAUCGUUGAAGUGGAACCGGAGAGAGUUGACGUAGUCUUAUGGAUAAGUAUUGCAAGAAUCGUAUUCAUCACAUAUGUAUGAUUAUGAUCGAGUAAUAUGUAUGCCAUAAAUGACUGUGCUGACAGCAUCGACUACACGAACACGAACUAUGUUGACAUGUUGCCCAUACUAUUUCUAUAUAGAAUGGUGUCUUAUGUUACGAUGUAAGGUUUGUUGUAUGUUGAUGUUGAUAUUGUGUGUGUGUGUGUUGUUUUAUACAUCACACUAAUAACAUUAAUGUCAGCAUAAAAGUCAACCACCUCUCCGACCCGUCUUGAAACACGGACCGAGGAGUGUAACUUGUACGCGAGUCAAUAGGUGAAAAAACCUUACGGGCGAAAUGAAAGUAAAGGCACGGUUAACCGGCUGACAUGGGAAACGUGUUCGACGACGACGACGACACGUUGCACCAUGGCCCUGUCUUGUCUGCAUGCAGAUGGGCAGUGGUAGAGCGUACAGGUUGCGACCCGAAAGAUGGUGAACUAUUCCUGAGCAGGACGAAGUCAGAGGAAACUCUGAUGGAAGUCCGUAUCGGUUCUGACGUGCAAAUCGAUCGAUAGACUUGGGUAUAGGGGCGAAAGACUAAUCGAACCAUC